CAUGGAGAGUUUGAUCCUGGCUCAGGAUGAACGCUGGCGGUCUGCUUAACACAUGCAAGUCGAACGGGCUCUUCGGAGCUAGUGGCGGACGGGUGAGUAACGCGUGAGAACCUAACUUGGGGACGGGGACAACAGUUGGAAACGACUGCUAAUACCCGAUGUGCCUGACAAGGUGAAAGAUUUAUUACCCCAAGAAGGGCUCGCGUCCGAUUAGCUAGUUGGAGUGGUAAGAGCACACCAAGGCGACGAUCGGUAGCUGGUCUGAGAGGAUGACCAGCCACACUGGGACUGAGACACGGCCCAGACUCCUACGGGAGGCAGCAGUGGGGAAUUUUCCGCAAUGGGCGAAAGCCUGACGGAGCAAGACCGCGUGAGGGAGGAAGGCUCUUGGGUUGUAAACCUCUUUUCUUUGGGAAGAAGUCCUGACGGUACCAAAGGAAUCAGCAUCGGCUAACUCCGUGCCAGCAGCCGCGGUAAUACGGAGGAUGCAAGCGUUAUCCGGAAUCAUUGGGCGUAAAGCGUCCGCAGGUGGCUUCUCAAGUCUGCGGUCAAAGACAGUGGCUCAACUACUGAAAGGCCGUGGAAACUGAGCAGCUAGAGACAGGUAGGGGUAGAGGGAAUUCCCGGUGUAGCGGUGAAAUGCGUAGAGAUCGGGAAGAACACCAGUGGCGAAAGCGCUCUGCUGGACCUUGUCUGACACUGAGGGACGAAAGCUAGGGGAGCGAAUGGGAUUAGAUACCCCAGUAGUCCUAGCCGUAAACGAUGGAGACUAGGUGUUGCCCGUAUCGACCCGGGCAGUGCCGUAGCUAACGCGUUAAGUCUCCCGCCUGGGGAGUACGCACGCAAGUGUGAAACUCAAAGGAAUUGACGGGGGCCCGCACAAGCGGUGGAGUAUGUGGUUUAAUUCGAUGCAACGCGAAGAACCUUACCAGGGCUUGACAUGUCCGGAAUCCCCUUGAAAGGGGGGAGUGCCUUCGGGAACCGGAACACAGGUGGUGCAUGGCUGUCGUCAGCUCGUGUCGUGAGAUGUUGGGUUAAGUCCCGCAACGAGCGCAACCCUCGUUUCUAGUUGCCAGCAUUAAGUUGGGCACUCUAGAGAGACUGCCGGUGACAAACCGGAGGAAGGUGGGGAUGACGUCAAGUCAGCAUGCCCCUUACGUCCUGGGCUACACACGUACUACAAUGCUUUAGACAGAGGGCAGCCAAGUCGCAAGGCCGAGCAAAUCCCAUAAACUAAGGCACAGUUCAGAUUGCUCUCUGCAACUCGAGAGCAUGAAGGCGGAAUCGCUAGUAAUCGCCGGUCAGCAUACGGCGGUGAAUACGUUCCCGGGCCUUGUACACACCGCCCGUCACACCAUGGGAGCUGGCCAUGCCCGAAGUCGUUACUCCAACCCCUUGGGGAGGAGGACGCCGAAGGUGGGGCUGGUGACUGGGGUGAAGUCGUAACAAGGUAGCCGUACCGGAAGGUGUGGCUGGAUCACCUCCUU
rnacentral:rRNA from 1 species